CACUCCUGCGGGAGGCAGCAGUGGGGAAUAUUGGACAAUGGGCGCAAGCCUGAUCCAGCCAUGCCGCGUGAGUGAUGAAGGCCCUAGGGUUGUAAAGCUCUUUCACCGGAGAAGAUAAUGACGGUAUCCGGAGAAGAAGCCCCGGCUAACUUCGUGCCAGCAGCCGCGGUAAUACGAAGGGGGCUAGCGUUGUUCGGAAUUACUGGGCGUAAAGCGCACGUAGGCGGAUCGAUCAGUCAGGGGUGAAAUCCCAGAGCUCAACCCUGGAACUGCCUUUGAUACUGUCGAUCUGGAGUAUGGAAGAGGUGAGUGGAAUUCCGAGUGUAGAGGUGAAAUUCGUAGAUAUUCGGAGGAACACCAGUGGCGAAGGCGGCUCACUGGUCCAUUACUGACGCUGAGGUGCGAAAGCGUGGGGAGCAAACAGGAUUAGAAACCCCUGUAGUCCCAUG
rnacentral:rRNA from 1 species